UAAACUAAUGAAUCUGGCUGUGAUAACGGGAUGCAGGGAGUAGAGGACUGACAUGGAGGCGUUGAUCGUCUUUCUCUCAAAUCAGGCCCGCCAAGAGGAAACGGGACUGACUUGGUGGCGGUGGUGGUGGGUUAAUGGCUACGCCGGCCGACCAAGGGGCCGACGACCGAUUUUCACGGGACACAACCCGAUAGGGGCACACGUGGUGGAGGAACGAGUUCCUUCGUCGAGAAUUCUUUUCUCGCCGGGGCCCGCCGUGGACGCGAUCGCCGAUUCGUCGCACUUGCGAAAAGAACGCGCAUAUUUAUCGUCGUCGUUAAUAAUGCACCGCCAGGGAAAGGUACGAAGGAAUUCACCGUCGCCCACCGCAACCAUUUGCUCAGAUCAUUGUCAACGAUUGCCGAACACGCGUUCCUUCGAGAAUCAAGCCUAGAAAGACCGAGAUGUCGGGUUAACGAGUUGAUCGUCAUAUCACCUACACAUGGGUGACAGCUUUUUACCGAGGAACUGAGACAAUUAAUUCUAAAGUCAUGCUAUGGACGAAAAUUAAUCCGAAGUAAAUUUGUGAAUAGGAUGGAGUUGGAGGAACAAGUACGGAGCAUAAGUAUGCAGCUUCUAAUUGUCUCGAAAGAAAAUUUUAAUAACGUAGAGAUUUUCACCGGUAUCGGCUUGGCAAUUAACUUGUUAAUGACAAACGGAGGAAACCUCGAUCCUGCGUCAUCCAAAAUUAUCUUCAGAAAACAGUCUAUUUCAGACGUUUAGAUGUUAUAACGCAAAUACCUAAUACCGACCAAAAGGAAUAGGCUAAUUUGUCUAGCAAAUUCUAUUUUACGAAUAGAUUUUUAUCCCCUGAAAUGAGUUCAAUCGUCGUAUUAGAUUGAUAAACAUGUUUUAGGUGUAUUUUGGGCAUUUCGACCGUCAGUCCCUUCGAUGUAGUACUUUCAUAGAUUUUAAUAAUGUGAGAAGAUUCAAAAAUAUACGAAUACUUAAAAUGAUACAAUAAUAUUAAAAUUGUGUAGGUGACGAAAAUUUGGUGUCGUGCGUACUCUUACGAGCAAGAUUUAUUUAUAUAUGGCACACCAAUAUAGAAAUUCGUGAAAAUUAAAAUACAUCGAAGCAGUACUUGUCGAAUUUCAAUGAUUGAAUUUCGUUACGAUGACAGGCCUUAUUAUUAAUAUUACAUAGAAUAAAUUCGUAAAAAUCGACUUAUGGGUACUCCUCUUGCGACGCAAUCAGAAAGCAAAAACAGGCUUCAUUUCCUCUUUGGUCAACAAGUUAUUUAAUGCUCGCAGUCAAGAUACCUCCGAAUGUUUAAGAGUCAAGGUCGAAGCUUCCAAACUCUGCGAAACACGGGACUGAAAUUUUCCACUUUAUUUUCGGAGCCGUCGUUAAAUGCCGCGCAUUCGAAGGAGUUUGUAUACAUUUUAGCGGGCGAAACGGUGCUUUCGAUUUCAUAAAGAUGGCCGAACGUCAACCGAGGAUACUCGUACGCAUGUAAACGGAAGCUGCCGAAGAAUCCCUGCAGGUGUGCGACCAAAUGUUUCCACAUAAAUUGCCCGUGCCGUGUGACAAGUCGCAAUUAAAUAAAUACUCGUAAGAUAAACUUGUUUACUUCCUGCUGAAGAAUGUUUAUUCGAAGGGGGUCGAGGUGCAUGCUGCGAAAUUCACAGGAGGACUCCUCCGUAUACCGGUUUGUCGAGUUUCCCGGCGACGUUAGUUUCUCAGUUUUAAUCCCCGACUCUACUUCCGAAAUGAACCAUUCGGAUAUCUAAACGUCCGUACUUUGGAUAAAAGAGUAGCGUUCGCGCCUCGCGUAAACCGACUUUAUCGAAACAUGUUGAUGUAUUUCGCGAUUGCUAAAUUGCUGUGGGUCGACUGCCGAUCGAGGACACGAGAAAAUAACCAUAAGACGGCAGAAUUUUACUCUUUGGACCAUUUGUGGGGAAUAUUGGUAUGGUUUCGUCGGUGACGAGUAGGAGUAUCAAAAUAAUAGAAAAGUAACGGACUAAUUUACUUUUAAAUGCUGUAUGACCUACUACUAUGGUUUACGUAGUAAUAAAAUGAUGGACUGCUUCUUGGUGGUCAGUUCUAUAAUGCUAACUUUAUCCUAUUCCGCUAAA